rnacentral:rRNA from 1 species
AUGAACGCUAGCGACAGGCCUAACACAUGCAAGUCGAGGGGCAGCGAAGAGGUAGCAAUACCUUUGUCGGCGACCGGCGCACGGGUGAGUAACACGUAUGCAAUCCACCUGUAACAGGGGGAUAACCCGGAGAAAUCCGGACUAAUACCCCAUAAUAUGGACACUCCGCAUGGAGAGUUCAUUAAAGAGAGCAAUUUUGGUUACAGACGAGCAUGCGCUCCAUUAGCCAGUUGGCGGGGUAACGGCCCACCAAGGCGACGAUGGAUAGGGGUUCUGAGAGGAAGGUCCCCCACAUUGGAACUGAGACACGGUCCAAACUCCUACGGGAGGCAGCAGUGAGGAAUAUUGGUCAAUGGUCGGCAGACUGAACCAGCCAAGUCGCGUGAGGGAAGACGGCCCUACGGGUUGUAAACCUCUUUUGUCGGAGAGUAAAGUACGCUACGUGUAGUGUAUUGCAAGUAUCCGAAGAAAAAGCAUCGGCUAACUCCGUGCCAGCAGCCGCGGUAAUACGGAGGAUGCAAGCGUUAUCCGGAUUUAUUGGGUUUAAAGGGUGCGUAGGCGGCACGCCAAGUCAGCGGUGAAAUUUCCGGGCUCAACCCGGAAUGUGCCGUUGAAACUGGCGAGCUAGAGUGCACAAGAGGCAGGCGGAAUGCGUGGUGUAGCGGUGAAAUGCAUAGAUAUCACGCAGAACCCCGAUUGCGAAGGCAGCCUGCUAGGGUGCGACAGACGCUGAGGCACGAAAGCGUGGGUAUCGAACAGGAUUAGAUACCCUGGUAGUCCACGCAGUAAACGAUGAAUACUAACUGUUUGCGAUACAAUGUAAGCGGUACAGCGAAAGCGUUAAGUAUUCCACCUGGGGAGUACGCCGGCAACGGUGAAACUCAAAGGAAUUGACGGGGGCCCGCACAAGCAGUGGAGUAUGUGGUUUAAUUCGAAGCAACGCGAAGAACCUUACCAAGUCUUGACAUCCCUCUGACCGGGACUUAACCGUCCCCUUUCUUCGGAACAGAGGAGACAGGUGGUGCAUGGUUGUCGUCAGCUCGUGCCGUGAGGUGUCGGCUUAAGUGCCAUAACGAGCGCAACCCCUAUCGACAGUUACUAACGGGUGAAGCCGAGGACUCUGUCGAGACUGCCGGCGCAAGCCGCGAGGAAGGUGGGGAUGACGUCAAAUCAGCACGGCCCUUACGUCCGGGGCGACACACGUGUUACAAUGGCAGGUACAGAAGGCAGCCAGUCAGCAAUGACGCGCGAAUCCCGAAAACCUGUCUCAGUUCGGAUUGGAGUCUGCAACCCGACUCCAUGAAGCUGGAUUCGCUAGUAAUCGCGCAUCAGCCAUGGCGCGGUGAAUACGUUCCCGGGCCUUGUACACACCGCCCGUCAAGCCAUGGAAGCCGGGAGUACCUGAAGCAUGCAACCGCAAGGAGCGUACGAAGGUAAUACCGGUAACUGGGGCU